CAGUGUGUGCAAUAAACCAACCCUCUUAACCCAAAAAAGGAAAAACUCACUUGGCUCCUACAGUGCAGAAGGAGACAACUUUAAAGUGGAGCAGGGAAGAUUAGACAGGAAAGUGGGGAAGGAGAGGAGGGGAAAGCAAAGGUUCGUGCGACAGCAGGUGACAGGUACCAGCAGGCCACUCUGCUGCUCUGGUAGCAGCUGAAGUAAAAAAUCAGCACCGCAAAUCCGCAGAGACCCAACCCUCCCAUCUCCAGGCAGCAUACAAAUGGCUGCUACAUUUUAGUAAUCGCUUCUUUAUUGACAAAUGGCUGUGAAGUGUUCUGGGGCACUGUCUGUCAGUAAUGCUUUUAUUUCUUAUUGAAUUCAAUCCUUUUUUUGCUACUCUGUGAUUCUCAGAGUCAAACAAGUUAAUGUUACUUCAUAUAGCACCGUGUGUGUGUGUGUGUGUGUGUGUCUAUUUUAUCACCAAUUCUUACAUGCAUGCACAUAUAUAAA